UUGUAAAGAGUGUUUUUUGUCACUUUGACCUACCCUGACCUCCUCCAACCUCUUCUAUGGAGUAAACUGAACCAGCACAACCCUGCGUGGAGUCUGUUGUCUGCACAAUCAGCAGUUUCUGAAAUAAACACAAAAGCAAGUCUGACACCAACAACCGGGCCAAAGUCCAGCACUUUUUUAAUGUGGACCUCUUGUCUAUGGAUUAAGGCAUGUACGCAUAUGAGCGAGAAAGGAAAGCAAUGACAGCAAGAAAAAACUUUUUGAGACGACAUGAGGAAGAAACCUCAAAAGGAACCAGACUCAAAAGGAAACCCAUUAUCAUCUUGGUGUCAGCACAUUGUGCAAUAUUGAAUAAUUCCCUUCUAUCACUGUGUAAAAAAUUUUAUAGUGAAACUAGGAAGCUUAUUAUAGUUUUAAUAUGAAGUUAUUAAUAUUGAGUGCAAAACUGUCAGUGGACACAUCAUUAAAUUGUCCAAAUAAAAUUAUACAAGUCUAUUUGAUGGGCUGAUUACAA